rnacentral:rRNA from 1 species
CCUACGGGAGGCAGCAGUGGGGAAUUUUGGACAAUGGGCGAAAGCCUGAUCCAGCAAUGCCGCGUGAGUGAAGAAGGCCUUCGGGUUGUAAAGCUCUUUUGUCAGGGAAGAAACGGUGAGGGCUAAUAUCCCUUGCUAAUGACGGUACCUGAAGAAUAAGCACCGGCUAACUACGUGCCAGCAGCCGCGGUAAUACGUAGGGUGCAAGCGUUAAUCGGAAUUACUGGGCGUAAAGCGUGCGCAGGCGGUUUUGUAAGUCUGUCGUGAAAUCCCCGGGCUCAACCUGGGAAUUGCGAUGGAGACUGCAAGGCUAGAAUCUGGCAGAGGGGGGUAGAAUUCCACGUGUAGCAGUGAAAUGCGUAGAGAUGUGGAGGAACACCGAUGGCGAAGGCAGCCCCCUGGGUCAAGAUUGACGCUCAUGCACGAAAGCGUGGGGAGCAAACAGGAUUAGAUACCCUGGUAGUCCACGCCCUAAACGAUGUCUACUAGUUGUCGGGUUUUAAUUAACUUGGUAACGCAGCUAACGCGUGAAGUAGACCGCCUGGGGAGUACGGUCGCAAGAUUAAAACGUCAAAGGAAUUGACGG